GACGAACGCUGGCGGCGUGCUUAACACAUGCAAGUCGAACGGAAAGGCCCUGCUUUUGUGGGGUUCUCGAGUGGCGAACGGGUGCGUAACACGUGAGUAACCUGCCCUUGACUUUGGGAUAACUUCAGGAAACUGGGGCUAAUACCGGAUAGGAUCUCCUGCUGCAUUGUGGGGGUUGGAAAGUUUCGGCGGUUGGGGAUGGACUCGCGGCUUAUCAGCUUGUUGGUUGGGUAGUGGCUUACCAAGGCUUUGACGGGUCGCCGGCCUGAGAGGGUGACCGGCCACAUUGGGACUGAGAUACGGCCCAGACUCCUACGGGAGGCAGCAGUGGGGAAUAUUGCACAAUGGGCGGAAGCCUGAUGCAGCAACGCCGCGUGCGGGAUGACGGCCUUCGGGUUGUAAACCGCUUUCGCCUGUGACGAAGCGUGAGUGACGGUAAUGGGUAAAGAAGCACCGGCUAACUACGUG
rnacentral:rRNA from 1 species